AAAAGACAAGAAAAUGGAAUAUCCCCUAGAACCUCCAGAAGGAAUUCAGGUCCGCCGACACCUUGCUUUUAGCCCAAUCAGACUGGUUUUGGAGUUCUGACCCUCAGAACUUUCAGAUAAUAAAUUUGUGCUAUUUUAAGCCAUGAGGUUUGUGGCAAUUGGUUAUACCGUCAACAGGAAACUAACAAAUACCCCUUUUAAAAAUUGUGAGCACUUGUUUCCCUCAGUCCUAACCUUGUUUUGAGCUUCUGCUCUGCUGACCUCACUCCUGGAGGUGAGCUCUACUCAUACAUCUUCUUUUUUCUUGGCACGCGACCUUCUCAAAGCGGACCUCAUCUGAGAGUUCUUCGUCCAAUUCUUAAGUGAUUUGCAUGUUUUUUUUUUCAAAAGGGAGUUUUCCUCAUCUCUUUCUUAUUGAAGUGAGUGUGCACAAUCCACUUUUUUUUCCUAUGUAUUUAUUUGUAAGUGCUUCCGAACCUUCUUGAGGGACUCUCUCGGCAAAUCCCAAAGGGCUGUGCUGGGGUUUCUGGCACGGGCUGGCCCUUCCAUGUCUGAACUGUCUCUGCUGGGAUCGAUACUCGACUUUAUUUCAUUCCCCCCCAAGACCUGAAGUCCGGUAAUAGCGCUUUGGUCUGUGUCCCUGCUGUACCAGUCUGUGCCACCAUCAAAUGAGGGGUGGGCCAGGGCAGGAGAAUUCUGGUCAUUUGUCUGAGCAGAGAUAUCUGAUGACAGCUUCCUCUUGGCACUCCUCCUCCCUCUUUCUGUUGCUAUCAUCAGGUAUCACUGGAUGAAAGGGUCUUGGUUAAAGACAUUACCCAAAGAAUAGGGCAGAGAAUUCUUUUCUUAAAUGAUCUCCUUCGGUUUUUCCAUGAACACAAUUAACUGGAGCAUGUCUCCCGAAUGGUCACUUAUUUGCGCAUUCAGCAUGCUUUUGUUGAAUACUUACCAUGCACAAUGCUCUCUGCAUACCAAGAAGGAAUAGGCAGAAACCACUCCAAGUUCCGUGCAGAUGAAAUUACUUCUACAGCGUUUACAGAACUGAAUGUAACCAUUAAGAAAAUAUCGGUAAAGGGGCGAUUGAGUGGCUCAGUUGGUUGAGCAUCUGACUUCGGCCCAGGUCAUGAUCUCAUGGCUCAUGGGCUCGAUCCCUUCGUCGAGCGCUGUGCUGACAGCUCGGGGCCUGGAGCCUGCUUCGGAUUCUGCGUCUCCCUCUCUCUCUGCCCCUCCCCACCUCGCGCGCUCUCUCUCUCAUUCAAAAAUAAAUAAACAUUAAAAAAAAGUUAAAACAAAAGAAAAUAUCAGUAGAGCUCAGGGGAUGAAUUUGCUUUGUUCUUUGGAAUAAGUUGGAGGUCAACCCCUUUUCUUUCUAGGCUUUAUUUUCCAGAAGAUGGGACUGCAGGUUGAGUGACAAUCAGGAUAUUAAAAGAGCAAGAAAUAGGGCACUAGCAGUAGAAAUCGAUGAUGUUACUUAGAGGCUGAAAACUGGGGGCUGGAAAUUUGUGUCUUUAUCUUCGAUCUGCAUUUGCAGGUAUUGGUCACUUGAAAUGUGGUUGGGACAACGGGAGGCUGGCUUUUUAAUUCUAUGUAAGUUUAAACUUAAAGAGUUAACUCGGUUAUUGGGAAGCUCUUAAGUAUGUUCAGAACAAGUUGGGUACGUGAAUCUCCAUUUUCAAAUGCAAAUUUUAUGAAAUCUAAAUAUACAUAAAGUAUUUCUGGUAAAAGUUAGCAUCUAAGUGAGAUGUGCCAGAUUUUGAAGCCUUGGUUUAAGAAAAAAUAUAAAGUAUUGCAUUCAUAAUUUUAAUUGCAUGUUGAAAUGAUAGUAUUUUGGAGAUACUGGGCUUCAGUAAAAUCUUUUUUUUUAAUGUUUAUUUAUUAUUAAGAGAGAGAGGGAGAGACAGAGCAUGAGCGGGGAAGGGGCAGAGAGAGAGGGAGACACAGAAUCCAAAGCAGGUUCCGGGCUCUGAGCUGUCACCACAGAGCCCGACGCAAGGCUCGAACUCACGAACUGUGAGAGCAUGCCCUGAGCCGAAGUUGGACGCUCAACCGACUGAGCCACCCAGGUGCCCCUUCAGUAAAAUCUUUUAUUAACAUUAAUUUCACCUGCUUCUUUUUACUUUUCUUUGACAUGAUCAUUGAAAGAUCAUUGUUAUCCUUCCGAAAGACUUCUUAAGCAAGAUUGGAAAUAUUUGAUCGCUCUUCCCGAUAAUGUCUCCCAGUUUUUAACAGAGUUAAGAGUAUAAUCAUUUUUGAAUUUUUAAUUCAAACAGUAAUAUUUGAAUCCUUGCUGCUGUUUCCCUAUGGAUUUUAUGCUGUAGAGUAGAUUAAAGAGAAAAGAUGCAUGUUAGCCAUACACACUCAUAGAGUGUGAAACAAAGCAUGGUAGAAAGCCAGUAAUCAAGAGUAAAACUGCCAAGGCAGGCAAGCGAACAGUCACAGAAGCACCCGGAUGAAUGCUCGGCUCCUUACUGGCUUUGAACUGAGUGUCUCUUCCACCAGCGUCCAGCUGGUACAUGCAGUAAGCUCGUCUCCUACCCCUUCACAUGCUUCUUCCUUUACCCUCAGCUUACUUGGGAACUUUAACCACCCCCUUUGCUCCUCCAUUUUCUCAGAAAAGAUGUCCUUUCUCAUUUAUGAUUUAUAUUUAUUUAUAUGUGUUCUUGGGACUUUUCUGCCUAAACACAGCAACAACAACUCAGGUGUUAUUGUAGUUGCCUUUAUCAUAAGAAUGCUGUGUCUCUCCAGUCUGCUACACACACACACACACACGUGUGUGUGUGUGUGUGUGUGUGUGUGUGUGUGUGUGUGCAAGUGCACAGGGGCCCUGUGGUAGUAUGGUGCAAUCUUCAUAUUUAUCAUGGUGUUCUCACAAAAGCUACACAUGAUCCCUGUGCUGGCUUUAGCCUCCGAUGCCUUCAGAGUGUAUACACAUAUUAAAAGAAUAAAUUAAUGAGCAUGAGAGACUCCAUUAUUUGGAGUCUGUUCCUCCCUCCUCGCUUCCUCCUUUCCUCCCUCCCUCCCUCCCUUCCUUCUUUCCUUCCUUCUUCCUUCCUUCCUUCCUUCUUCCCUCCCUCCCUCCUUCCUUCUUCCUUCCUUCCUUCCUUCCUUCCUUCCUCCUUCCCUCUUCCUUCCUUCCUCCCUCCCUCCCUUCCUUCCUCCCUUCCGCCCUUCCUUCCUUCCUCCUUCCCUUCUUCCCUCUUCCUUCCUCCCUUUCUCCCUCCCUCUUUCUUUCUUUCCUUCUUUCUAACAAUAUAUAUAUCCCAAGUAUUGCAGCAUGAGAUACACUUACACUAAAAAAUGAUUAGUUAUUUAUCUAAAAUUCAAAUUAAAUGACCAACCUAUAGCUUAUCUGGCAACCCUAUAUGUUUAGGAUCUGUUGAGCUGGAGAAUUGCAAGGUUUGCCAGAUUUAGCAAGUAAAAGUAGGACAUCCAAAUGUGAUAUUUUGGCCACACUCAUACUGAAAAAUUAUUUGUUGCUUAUUUGACAUUCACAUUUAACUAGACGUCCUGAAUUUUCUAUGGCAACCCUAAUUCUCGAAGAAGUGGUUUCCUCUGUAGGAGAGUGGGCUACCCGUGGAGGUAUCAGGGGUGGGAAUUAAUGUUCUUGUCUAAAGUUCUGGUAAUGUAUCAUCUUAGAAAAGACCAGAAGCCUGAGGACGUCCUGGAGUAGGAUGGUUUCUGUUCGAAGCUCUGGUAAGGGGUUCAGGCUGGCUGCCCGAUUUAUGGAGGGCGUGGGACUUGCACAGCUUCGGUGCAGUGUUACUAUUUAAAUCUAAUUCGGGUCGACGUUUAUGCUUUUGGAAUAAAGCCAUCCUCUUCCACCUGCUCAACCCCGCCUUGCGUUCUGGUGUUGACUUAUUAAGUAGAGCCCAAACCAUUUCAUCGUGAAGGAAGAUCUGUAGCUCAGAGUGUCUGAACCAAACAGGAAUUGAAACAAGAGUGGGGAAGAGAGGGAGGAAACAGUUUAUGUCUGUGACAUCUUUUUUCCAAUUGUUAAUCAUUUCGGGCCAUUAACAGUAAGACAGAGAAAAGUAAAAAGACAGAGGAGGGGACAGACCUGGGCUGUACGCGGCCUUUAGCCAUUCACUUUCGGGCUUACUUUCCUUCAUUUAAACUUUGUUUACCCUCCCCCACCCGACUCGCUAGCAAAAAUACUUUUAAAAGAACCUUAACAGGCGGAGGCUCAAGGAUCUUGUUUUCUUUUAAUUCUUUUUGAUUUAUGUUCCUUUGUCUCCAAAGCUCCUGUAAUCUCCCACCUCUUCACAUCCAGUUCCCUGCUGACAGCCCUGAGGCAGCCAGCCACCCCCCACCCCCUUGGCUUUGAGAUAAACCAUCCCGGGCUGGAUCCUUAACUACACAAACUUUCUCUCCUGAGCCUUCUCUUAAAUGUUGGGAACUCGAGAAUGCCUUCCUUGGAAAUGAAGGAAAGCAAACAUCCCAGGUUGUGUCCUCAGAAGCCUGUAACCAGAGCUUUUUAUUAACUCUGGUGGGAGUCGGGCUUUGAUCUGAACUGGUCCGGGAACUCCUUUAUUGCAGCUGACAUUUAUUGAGCGGCUACUAUGUGCCACUGGCCGGGGUGGCAGGGCAAGCGAGGACAAAUAUGAUGGGGUCAGGCCUACAGGAGCUUGCUUGUAAAAUAGUUGGGGGCAAUUAUACUGGUCCUCCAAGACCCUUCGGUUCACUGGGUCAGAAACCCUGCUGAACACCGCCAAGCAGCCUAACUCUCUAGCACUGCACAUUAAAAAAAAAAAAAAAACAAAAACAAAAACAAACAUUUAAACACUUACUUUUGUGAUGACUAGUGCCUUGCUCCCUCACUGGCUUCUCAGCAUUGUGAGCUCCCAGAGGGGAGGGGCUGUAUGUGUUUUGAUUUCUGUUAUGUUUUCAGCCUCCAGGAAAUAUCAGCCAAAUGAAGGAAGGAGGGAAUGCACCACAAGACCAGACAAUUGUGCCCAUUCGUUGCAAAUGAAGAGCGGUGUGAGCAGGGAAGGCAGCCGCUCAUUCGGGAAAGGCUUUGCCUUCGAUGACGAUGUGGUGAAGGAGGGAGUGUGAUAAGGGCCCAGCCUGCGGAGGGCUGAUGCCAGAAGUGGACCCCGGGUAUCCUGAUGGCAGAGACUGUAGAGCUCUGGUCUCCACACCGUCUGAAGGCCUUUGUUCCAAGUCGCGUCUAGUGCUCUGCGACUCUAACGUCUUUCUUCUUCACUGAUGUGUAGUUAGUUUCCUGCUAACCUGAAUAAAAGGUGACCCCUUUCUUUCUGGCCGUUGUAUCUCUCAGCUCUGUUCGCUCCACCGUGGUAGAGAGAAGCUCUCAGUAG
rnacentral:lncRNA from 1 species